rnacentral:rRNA from 1 species
UACGAAGGGAGCUAGCGUUGUUCGGAAUCACUGGGCGUAAAGCGCACGUAGGCGGAUGUGUCAGUCAGGGGUGAAAUCCCGGAGCUCAACUUCGGAACUGCCUUUGAUACAGCACGUCUUGAGUCCGAUAGAGGUGGGUGGAAUUCCUAGUGUAGAGGUGAAAUUCGUAGAUAUUAGGAAGAACACCGGUGGCGAAGGCGGCCCACUGGAUCGGUAUUGACGCUGAUGCGCGAAAGCCAGGGGAGCAAACGGG